rnacentral:tRNA from 1 species
UUAAGUAAAGUAUAAUUACAUUUAGUUUCGACCUAACAUUUAGCUUUAAGGCUUACUUACU